UCUCAACUAAAUACAAUUUACUUUCAGUUUAGCAGCUCAUGAUCAGAUACUUUUCGCCGGCCCUUCUGAAUGUCCGUUUCCGCUCAAAUUUGACAGUCAGGCUUGAUUUUUGCUAAAUAAAUGGAAUAUAUCUUAAUUUCUCAGUUUCGACCAUUUUUGGUCACCGAAAGCUCUAUCGAACUGAAAUCUCAAACAGAUAGCAGUCGGAUUUUAUUUUCCACCAUCCGGGUGUCAGAAUGAUAUGAAACUUUAAAUAUAGGCUCAUAAAAAUAAUUCUGACAUAUUUUUCAGUUUUCAUAAUUUUCUGUCACUGUGCAUUUUUUGCUAAAAUAUCAACCCCGUUUCUUACAAAAAAUUCUAAAUCUUCUAUUUUCAUUCCGAUUUCAGCAUAAGUCAUUUCCAAUUUAUGUUUUACUUCUUUAAAUCCAAUAAAAAUAGUAUCUCACAUUAUUUUUAUUUAUAUUUACUUUUAUAUCAAAAUCCGGUAUAUUACAGGAUGUGAGCUCAUCG
rnacentral:lncRNA from 1 species